AACGAACGCUGGCGGCGUGUCUUAAGCAUGCAAGUCGUGCGGCAAGGGGUAGCAAUACCCCCUAGAGCGGCGGACUGGUGAGUAACGCGUGGGUGAUCUGCCCUUGGGUUGGGGAUAGCCAUUAGAAAUAGUGGGUAAUACCGAAUACGUUCGCCGGACUGUGGCCUGGCGAGGAAAAGCGCUUCGGCGCUGCCCGAGGAUGAGCCCGCGUCCCAUUAGCUAGUUGGUGGGGUAACGGCCCACCAAGGCGAUGAUGGGUAGCCGGCCUGAGAGGGUGUACGGCCACACUGGGACUGAGAUACGGCCCAGACUCCUACGGGAGGCAGCAGCUAGGAAUAUUCCGCAAUGGACGAAAGUCUGACGGAGCGACGCCGCGUGGACGAUGAAGGCCGAAAGGUUGUAAAGUCCUUUUGUCGGGGAAGAAUAACCAUGGGAGGGAAUGCCCGUGGGAUGACAUGAACCGACGAAUAAGCCCCGGCUAACUACGUGCCAGCCGCCGCGGUAA
rnacentral:rRNA from 1 species